CCUGAUGCAGCAACGCCGCGUGCGGGAAGAAGGCCCUAGGGUUGUAAACCGCUUUCAGCAGGGAAGAAACUGACGGUACCUGCAGAAGAAGGUGCGGCCAACUACGUGCCAGCAGCCGCGGUGACACGUAGGCACCAAGCGUUGUCCGGAUUUAUUGGGCGUAAAGAGCUCGUAGGCGGUUUGGUAAGUCGGGUGUGAAAAUCCUGGGCUCAACCUUGAGACGCCACCCGAUACUGCUGUGACUUGAGUACGGUAGGGGAGUGGGGAAUUCCUGGUGUAGCGGUGAAAUGCGCAGAUAUCAGGAAGAACACCGGUGGCGAAGGCGCCACUCUGGGCCGUAACUGACGCUGAGGAGCGAAAGCGUGGGUAGCAAACAGGAUUAGAUACCCUGGUAGUCCACGCCGUAAACGUUGGGCACUAGGUGUGGGUCUCAACCAACGAGAUCCGCGCCGUCGCUAACGCAUUAAGUGCCCCGCCUGGGGAGUACGGUCGCAAGACUAAAACUCAAAGGAAAUUGACG
rnacentral:rRNA from 1 species